rnacentral:rRNA from 1 species
AUGGAGGUUGAGAAGAUGAGGAAAUGUGUGUCAACACACAAUAAUCCAUCAAAACGCAAUAAGUGGAGUGGGGUUGUUUAUGAGGUAAUCAUCACAGAGGACGGGUCAGAGUUCAUUUGUGAGUGUGGUCAGUUUGAGCACAUGGGGAUGCUAUGCUGCCACGUGUUGCGGGUAAUAGAUAUGCUUCACCUGGAGGAAAUACCGCUGAAACACAUAAUGAAGCGGUGGAUGAGAGAUGAAAGGGGCAUACUUCUUGAGCACCUAUCCCACUACCAGAAGGACAAUGCGGUAAACAUGUCUUUCACUUGCAGGCAUUCGACUUUGUACGCGCAAGCUAUGGAAUUUGUGCGGAUGGGGUAUGCCAGCGCUGAAUUUUUCCACCACAUGUCAGCUGGUCUGAAAGCCUUGAUUGCUAGUGGGGUGCCUUUCAGUGAGCAUUUGCUCCACGCUUGUUCCUCUUAG